UCAAGCUCUGGGAGUUGGUGAUGGACAGGGAAGCCUGGCGUGCUGCAGCCCGUGGGGUCACAAAGAGUCAGACACAACUGAGUGACUGAACUGAACUGAGCCUUGGGUGUCUGACUACCUAGAUUCUAAUCCUGGUUCAACUACCUGUAUGACCUAGAGCAAGUCUCCUAAUAUUCUGCCUCAACUGUCUUAUCCUUGUGAUGGAAAUAACCAUUUUAACCACUUCCUCUGAUGAAGAAAACGAGGUUCAGAGAGACUAAAUGAUGUCACCAAGCCCACUCAGCUAUUUGACUGUGAAUUCAGAGCUUGACUUCAGAUCUCAGGAUCACAGAUGGCUAUGCAGUUGUUGACCCACCAGGAUUGGGGCAGAGAGACAGAAGGAAAAGCAGGAAGCGCAGGUAUUGGGUACCAUUUCGAGAUGACGGGACCCUCUCUGGACCUGGGAGGCAUUCACUGCUGACCCUCGUGCUGUCAGACACUUGGUCAGGUCUUUUCAAGUUUCCUUUGCUGGGCCUUUCUGACUGCAACCACACUGAUGUGAUAGGUCUCCUUUGGCAGCAUCCCACCCCCUCACCACCCCCCUCCACCACUGGUUCCAUCAGUCUGCUCCUCAUCCUCUGCCUGGCCAUCUUGGGAAGAAGCCUGAAUGACUCCAGUCUGAUCACCUGCUCUGGGGUUUGUGCAUCUUUAACCGGUGAUCCAAAAUCACCGUGGAUGGUGACUGUUGCCAUGAAAUUAAAAAACGCUUGCUCCUUGGAAGAAAAGUUAUGACCAACCUAGAUAGCAUAUUAAAAAGCAGAGACAUUACUUUGCCCACGAAGG